rnacentral:lncRNA from 12 species
CCCAGGUUUUAUUAAUCAUGGAUGACAUGCUCCUAUUUCAACAGACCAUGGGUGCGUCCAAGGCGUGUUUCUCAAACCUGGAUUCAUUUAAGAAAUUAGCUGAGGAGGUUUUCAAAGGUAAAGAUCCCAGCUGCAGCUUCAGGAUGGGGUAGUACCAGCACAUCUCAGGUGGCACGGAUGUUUGGGGACAUAAGCUGAGCAACAGAGGGAACAGCAGAUUUGCUUUACCCGGUGAGAGAUGAUGAAGCCACAAGGUGCUGCAUGGAGCUUUCUGAUCCACUUUAAUAUACUGAAGAUCCACGAGCAGUGUGGCUUCUCCCGAAGCAUUUCUCACAGGACAAUUACUCUCAGCUAUUCUCGGCGGAUGAAAAUCACAAGGCCCUAUAACAACCGGCAUGGCCCUUGAUUUUGGGAAGAGGAGGAGACACACCAGCUGUGGAGCCUGUCAGACCAAGAAGGACCAGAACCUAAAGACUCUGUGCUUCUCUCAGGCCACCAGGUGGGAUCAGCAGGAGAGGAAGGAAUCCAGGACAGAAAGGUGAGAUGUGAAGAGGAGGUUGGUAUCUGGACAUGGGCAGAAACCCUAACCUCCUUUCUUCAAUCUGAAUU